rnacentral:rRNA from 1 species
AGCGAACGCUGGCGGCAGGCCUAACACAUGCAAGUCGAACGAAGUCUUCGGACUUAGUGGCGGACGGGUGAGUAACACGUGGGAACGUACCUUUUGGUUCGGAACAACUCAGGGAAACUUGAGCUAAUACCGGAUGAGCCCUUAGGGGGAAAGAUUUAUCGCCGAAAGAGCGGCCCGCGUUAGAUUAGCUAGUUGGUGAGGUAAAGGUUCACCAAGGCUACGAUCUAUAGCUGGUCUGAGAGGAUGAUCAGCCACACUGGGACUGAGACACGGCCCAGUCUCCUACGGGAGGCAGCAGUGGGGAAUCUUGCGCAAUGGGCGAAAGCCUGUCGCAGCCAUGCCGCGUGAAUGAUGAAGGUCUUAGGAUUGUAAAAUUCUUUUACCAGGGACGAUAAUGACGGUACCUGGAGAAAAAGCCCCGGCUAACUUCGUGCCAGCAGCCGCAGUAAUAC